AACGAACGCUGGCGGCAUGCCUAACACAUGCAAGUCGAACGAGACCUUCGGGUCUAGUGGCGCACGGGUGCGUAACACGUGGGAAUUUGCCUCGGGAAUGGAAUAACUCAGGGAAACUUGAGCUAAUACCAUAUAAUGUCUUCGGACCAAAGAUUUAUCGCCCUGAGAUAAGCCCGCGUAGGAUUAGCUAGUUGUGGGGUAAAGGCUCACCAAGGCGACGAUCCUUAGCUGGUCUGAGAGGAUGAUCAGCCANACUGGGACUGAGACACGGCCCAGACUCCUACGGGAGGCAGCAGUGGGGAAUAUUGGACAAUGGGCGAAAGGCCUGAUCCAGCAAUGCCGCGUGAGUGAUGAAGGCCUUCGGUUGGUUAAAGACGUCUUUACCUUA
rnacentral:rRNA from 1 species